CAUCAAGUGCGCGCAGCCAUGUCUUCCUCCUCCGCCUCCUUCCAGCCGCUGCUCGGCGGUGGAGCCCCGAAGAAGCUCACCCGUAGCAACUGCAUUCUGUGGCGGACACAGAUCAUGCCGCAGCUGCGGGGCGCCGGCCUCUUCCACUACGUCGAUGGCAUGGCAACCGAGCCGGCCAAAGUCCUCACUACCAAGGACGCCGCCGGCAAGGAGACCACUGGGUCGAAUCCCCUUCAUCCGCUCUGGGUGAGGGAGGAUCAGCAGGUCCUCGGAUAUGUGCUCCAACACCUCUCUAAGGAGGUGCUCGUCACGGUGACCACGAUCACCGCGGCACGCGGCCUCUGGGUUGCACUGGCGAACAUGUUCUCAUCACAGUCACUCAGCCGCGUUAACAACAUUCGCACAGUGCUGAUCAAUGUGCAGAAGGGCAAUCAAUCGGUGGCCACCUUCUUCGUCGCCACGAGGGGUCUCGCCGAUGAACUCGCCGCGGUGGGAAAACCCAUCGAGGACGACGAGCUCAUCUCCUACAUCAUCCACGGGCUGGACCAAGACUAUCAGCCCCUCGUCUCCGCAUUAGAUGCCCGUGUCACCCCAGUAACCCCUGAUGAACUUUUUUCCAUGCUCAGUAACUUUGACCAACGCAUGGCGCAGUAUCAUGGCCCCGGUGGUGGCUUCAAAUCGUCAGCCAACUCUGCAUCCAGAGGCCACGGUGGUGGAUCUCGCUCGAGUUCAUCUUCCCGUGGCAAGGGGAGGUUUGGCUCCGGCGGUGGUGGCUACUCCAACAACUCACGCGGCGGCGGACGCUCUAGUAACUCCAAAGGGCGUCAUGGUGGUGGCAGUGGCGGUCCCAACAGAUCCCGUCCGAACUUGCCUCGCUGCCAAAUUUGCGGCAAGCCUGGCCAUACGGCAAAGGACUGUUGGUACCGC
rnacentral:rRNA from 1 species